AGAAAUCGAGGCUCCAAGAAGAAUGCAGGCUUGUCUAAUAACAAGGGGCUAGUAAGUAUUGGGAAGCCAAUUCACACAUAGAGUUGCAUGACUUCCAUGCUCUCCCAAUCAUUAGUUGGUUCUAUUUGUACUAUGUCAGACAUGCCAGGAAUUUAGUAAAAAGGAAGUGCAGGCAUAUUUCACAAAUCCGCAAUCUGUAAACAUCACACACAUGACAUCCUGUGUACCCGUGAACACUGGACUGAGGAGGAACUAAGGGUCUCAGAAGACGAUGACAAGUAGGAAAUGCUGGCAGGACGGUAUGAGAACCCAGAGCUAAAGUCUCCUGGGAACUUCUGAGAGCUCUCCUGGAACCCACUGCCUGGUCCACAGGAACAGCAUUGGCAGCAACGUCAUGAUAUCACAGCACACUCCCAAUGAGACUAUUGUGAUCCUUGCACCAAAUGACUUCAAGUUCCCCCAAACAGAGAAACCCAAACCCACCAACCCAAGACAGGAUAGCCUGGCGAAAUGCCUAAUGACAGAGAUCAAAGUCCUUGGGAGCGUGCUUUUCCUGCCUCAGAGUGACAACAGUAAAUCCAAGAUACUCUCCAGAAUGACUUUUGACCCUGUUUAUGAAGAACUGUUGACUUCUUAGGAAAAAACAGAAAAGUAUUUGCCAGAAAAUUGAUUUUUAUGAUAAUACAUCAAGUCCAACCAUUACAAGAAGGCAAAGUUUGAGUUCCCUGGAAUGUAGGCAUUUUUUAAUGAAAUGAACAUUUUUAAAAAAUCA